rnacentral:rRNA from 1 species
AUGAACGCUGGCGGCGUGCCUAAUACCUGCCAGUCGAGCGAACGGACGAGAAGCUUGCUUCCCUGAUGUUAGCGGCGGACGGGUGAGUAACACGUGGAUAACCUACCUAUAAGACUGGGAUAACUUCGGGAAACCGUAGCUAAUACCGGAUAAUAUUUUGAACCGCCUGGUUCAAAAGUGAAAGACGGUCUUGCUGUCACUUAUAGAUGGAUCCGCGCUGCAUUAGCUAGUUGGUAAGGUAACGGCUUACCAAGGCAACGAUGCAUAGCCGACCUGAGAGGGUGAUCGGCCACACUGGAACUGAGACACGGUCCAGACUCCUACGGGAGGCAGCAGUAGGGAAUCUUCCGCAAUGGGCGAAAGCCUGACGGAGCAACGCCGCGUGAGUGAUGAAGGUCUUCGGAUCGUAAAACUCUGUUAUUAGGGAAGAACAUAUGUGUAAGUAACUGUGCACAUCUUGACGGUACCUAAUCAGAAAGCCACGGCUAACUACGUG